AUGAAAAUCACAGGUAAGAUUGACAAAUCUACCCUCAACUGUGAAAUCUGCACUCAGGGAAAAUGUGUUCAGAGCAGAAACAGAGAGCCUGCUGAAAAGGCAAAAGCGGCUCUUGAGCUUGUGCACACUGAUUUGGCUGGCCCUAUUGAGCCAGAGGCGAAAGAUGGGUUCAGAUAUACUCUAGCAUUUACGGAUGAUUAUUCACGGGCAGUUUUUGUGUAUUUCCUAAAAGCAAAGAGUGAUACUGUAAAAGUUACUGAGAAGUUUAUUGCUGAUGUGGCCCCUUAUGGGAAAAUAAAGUGUGUCAGGUCAGAUAAUGGCACAGAGUUCACAGCCAAAGAGUUCCAGUCACUGCUCAGUAAGAACGCCAUAAGACAUGAAACUUCAGCCCCUUACUCACCCCAUCAAAAUGGGACCGCUGAGAGAAAUUGGAGAACACUGUUCGAAAUGGCAAGAUGCAUGCUACUUGAAAGCAACCUACCAAAGAACUUGUGGACAUAUGCUGUAAUGACUGCUGCAGUAAUUCGCAAUAGGUGUUACAAUAAGCGUGUAGGACAGACUCCACACUACAUGUUUACUGGGAGAAAGCCUGAUCUUUCAAAGAUGAAAGAAUUUGGAUCUGUUUGCUAUGCAUAUAGACAGAACAAGAAAAAGUUAGACUCAAGAUGUGAAAAGGGUAUUUUUGUUGGGUAUGAUAAAAAUAGUCCAGCAUACCUAGUCUACUACCCAGACACUGGGAAAGUUCUUAAAAACAGAUUAGUCAAGUGUGUUACAAAAGGUGUAGUCGAACACCAAACUCAGACAGAUUUGGAAAUCAGUGAUGAUCUUCAUGGGGAGAGAUUUGAAAACCCCAUGCCGAAAGCCAAGAUGGCAGAUCAAAACUCAGAAGAGACACAAGAUGUGCAAAUUGAGACUUCAGAUGGUCAGAGUCCACGCUAUCCAGACAGAGCGAGGAAGAAACCCCAGUACUUAAAAGACUAUGAGUGUAAAGUGAAAUGUGAUGACCAGAUACCACCUAGUGUUGACUACUGCUACAGAGUAAUGUGCAAUGCACCACAAACCUUCAAAGAAGCAAUGAUUUCACCAAAAUCAGAGAUUUGGGCUACUGCUAUGAAGGAGGAGAUGGAUUCCCUUAGGGAAAAUGAUACAUUCACAUUAACCACACUGCCAGAGGGUAAAAAUGCAGUGUGGGGCAGGUGGGUCUAUGCGGUCAAAAACAAUUCAGAUGAGACUGAGACAUACAAGGCAAGAUAUGUUGCAAAGGGGUAUAGUCAAGUGGCAGGAAUAGACUAUAAGGAGACUUUUUCUCCAACUGCAAAUAUGACAUCAGUACGCUGUUUGAUGCAGCUAGCAGCUCAGUAUGACUUAGAGUUACAUCAGAUGGAUGUCAAAACAGCAUAUCUACAUGCUCCUAUUGACUGUGAAGUGUACAUGGAGCAACCAGAGGGUUUUGAAGUCAGGUCAGAUACAGGUGAGCAACUAGUCUGCAAACUGAACAAGUCACUGUACGGCCUGAAACAGUCAGGAAGGAACUGGAACAAAAUGUUGCAUGAUCACCUUAGUGAAAAUGGUUUUACACAGAACCCAGCUGAUCACUGUGUUUAUAACAAACAAACUGCAACAGAAAGGAUAAUUUUGAUAAUUUGGGUCGAUGAUCUAAUUAUCGCUGCUAGUGAUAGUGACUCACUCACAAGUGUAAAAGAAAUGUUAAGUGAAAAAUUUAAGAUGAAAGAUCUUGGGAGGCUUGGACAUUUCCUUGGCAUUGAUUUUACACAAAGUGAAGGGAAAAUAAAGAUGAACCAAACAAGGUACAUAACCAAGAUACUGGAAAGGUUUGAUAUGUCAGACUGUAAAACAAGGUCAACACCAUGUGAACAAAGAACCCAGUAUGUCGUCAGAGAUGUAAACAUGUCGACAUCAGAUAUCAUUUCAUUCGAUCUGCACUCAGUGAUGGUAAAAUAA
rnacentral:lncRNA from 8 species